rnacentral:rRNA from 1 species
CAGUCGCCGCGGUAAUACGAAGGGGGCAAGCGUUGUUCGGAAUUACUGGGCGUAAAGGGCGCGUAGGCGGUGUACUAAGUUAGGCGUGAAAGCCCUGGGCUCAACCCGGGAAUUGCGCUUGAUACUGGUACGCUUGAAUCCAGGAGAGGUUGGUGGAAUUCCCAGUGUAGAGGUGAAAUUCGUAGAGAUGUGGAGGAAUACCGAUGGCGAAGGCAGCCCCCUGGGCCAAUACUGACGCUCAUGCACGAAAGCGUGGGGAGCAAACAGGAUUAGAUACCCGCGUAGUCCCUGUCUCUUAUAC